CCUACGGGAGGCAGCAGUGGGGAAUCUUGCGCAAUGGCCGAGAGGCUGACGCAGCGACGCCGCGUGGGGGAUGAAGCAUUUCGGUGUGUAAACCCCUGUUGCUCGGGACGAACGAUCCUUUUCGAGGGAUGUGACGGUACCGAGUGAGGAAGCACCGGCUAACUCCGUGCCAGCAGCCGCGGUAAUACGGAGGGUGCGAGCGUUGUCCGGAAUCACUGGGCGUAAAGGGCGCGUAGGUGGUUGGAUGCGCCGGUGGUGAAAGCGCAGGGCUCAACCCUGCGUCGGCCAUCGGGACGGUCCGACUGGAGCACUGUAGAGGCAGGUGGAAUUCCGGGUGUAGCGGUGGAAUGCGUAGAGAUCCGGAAGAACACCGGUGGCGAAGGCGGCCUGCUGGGCAGUUGCUGACACUGAGGCGCGACAGCGUGGGGAGCAAACAGGAUUAGAUACCCUGGUAGUCCACGCCGUAAACGAUGGGCACUAGGUGCUUGGGGGAGCGACCCCCUGAGUGCCGACGCUAACGCAUUAAGUGCCCCGCCUGGGGAGUACGACCGCAAGGUUGAAACGUCAAAGGAAUUGACGGCGNGAGACGNGCGACGGACGACGACGAGGGAGAGG
rnacentral:rRNA from 1 species